rnacentral:lncRNA from 1 species
GAAAAUGAACCGGAAGUGAAGAAUUCCUCAGCUGUGUCCCUCUCAUGCUUCAAGAAGCCGAACUUCUGCUUGGAGAUCAAGGCUCAGGAUGCAGGCAAGGCAAAGCUGCAGGAAGGAGGGAGUUGGACACACACAGAUAGUACCACCCAGAGAUGGCAGUAGAGUUUGGAAUGUUGCAUCUACAAGUCAAGGCGUGUUGCUGGCCCAGUUGGAACUGAGAAGAGUUAUCUGUUGCAGCAUCCCAGGGAAGACAUCCACAGAGGGGCCUGGCUUGCCUUUCCUGAGUGUAUCCUGGACCGCUGCAGAGGGAAGGAAGAUGCUGUCGUCCAUUCAGUUGCAGGGCCUCAUGGGGAGUGAGGCACAAGGCUUUGAUGAUUAAAGGGAAAUCAACAUGGGGCCAAGGGGAUCUUCAGGAGGGAGGUGUGACUCUCACAGCCAAGGUUUGGAGCCAGAGAAGUAGGUAUUGAAGAUGGAGAGACCAGUCAGGUGUGGUCAGGGAGGCAGGGGUGAUGAUGGAGCAGAACCUGGAGCCAGAGGCCACUGGUGUUGAAUACAAGGAGAGACCUGAACUUUGGUGUCAUGAUAAGGAGCUUUGGCAAUAAGACAGCAAAGGCACAGGAGUGACAGGAGAAGGUUUGCUCCUCAAGAGAUACACGAGGAUGAUGGACAUGGUCAACCCUGUGGCACAAUGGUACCCUGAGGAGAGAAGAGAAUCACACAUUCCUCAAGCACUGGGGUCCUCAAGAGAGGGGAGUCAUACAGAGGUUGGGAGUCCAACACUGCUGUCAUGAUACUGAGAACCAGGGUCUUGGGGGUGACCAAGGCAAGAGGAAGAAGGAAGAGGGAUCAGAGACAUUGAUGUAGAGACAUGGCCUCCAAAGGGAGUCGUUGCUGACAUACAAAGCAAGCAUGAUUCUCCUGAAAGGACCAUGAAACCCUGGAAGGAAGAAAAAGCUCCAUGAAGCUGUGACUCAGGAGCCAAGCACGCUGGUCCUCACCCUGUGGGCGGUGGGGUUACAUUGAACGAGAUGCAGGGGUUAGAAUCCCAGGCGUGUGCGUGGGAGGCUGGCUGCGACCGGGAAAGAGUUAAUAAUUAAACUAUUUGUGCUACUGUG